rnacentral:rRNA from 1 species
UACGUAGGGACCAAGCGUUGUUCGGAUUUACUGGGCGUAAAGGGCGCGUAGGCGGCAAUUCAAGUCAUCUGUGAAAUCUCCGGGCUUAACUCGGAAUGGUCAGGUGAUACUGCUUUGCUAGAGUGCAGAAGGGGCAAUCGGAAUUCUUGGUGUAGCGGUGAAAUGCGUAGAUAUCAAGAGGAACACCUGAGGUGAAGACGGGUUGCUGGGCUGACACUGACGCUGAGUGCGCGAAAGCCAGGGGAGCAAACGGG